rnacentral:rRNA from 1 species
UUCGCCCUUAGAGUUUGAUCCUGGCUCAGGACGAACGCUGGCGGCGCGCCUAACACAUGCAAGUCGAACGAGAGAGAGGGAGCUUGCUUCCUCAAUCGAGUGGCGAACGGGUGAGUAACGCGUGAGGAACCUGCCUCAAAGAGGGGGACAACAGUUGGAAACGACUGCUAAUACCGCAUAAGCCCACAGCUCGGCAUCGAGCAGAGGGAAAAGGAGCAAUCCGCUUUGAGAUGGCCUCGCGUCCGAUUAGCUAGUUGGUGAGGUAAUGGCCCACCAAGGCGACGAUCGGUAGCCGGACUGAGAGGUUGAACGGCCACAUUGGGACUGAGACACGGCCCAGACUCCUACGGGAGGCAGCAGUGGGGAAUAUUGCACAAUGGGGGAAACCCUGAUGCAGCGACGCCGCGUGGAGGAAGAAGGUCUUCGGAUUGUAAACUCCUGUUGUUGAGGAAGAUAAUGACGGUACUUAACAAGGAAGUGACGGCUAACUACGUGCCAGCAGCCGCGGUAAAACGUAGGUCACAAGCGUUGUCCGGAAUUACUGGGUGUAAAGGGAGCGCAGGCGGGAAGACAAGUUGGAAGUGAAAUCUAUGGGCUCAACCCAUAAACUGCUUUCAAAACUGUUUUUCUUGAGUAGUGCAGAGGUAGGCGGAAUUCCCGGUGUAGCGGUGGAAUGCGUAGAUAUCGGGAGGAACACCAGUGGCGAAGGCGGCCUACUGGGCACCAACUGACGCUGAGGCUCGAAAGUGUGGGUAGCAAACAGGAUUAGAUACCCUGGUAGUCCACACCGUAAACGAUGAUUACUAGGUGUUGGAGGAUUGACCCCUUCAGUGCCGCAGUUAACACAAUAAGUAAUCCACCUGGGGAGUACGACCGCAAGGUUGAAACUCAAAGGAAUUGACGGGGGCCCGCACAAGCAGUGGAGUAUGUGGUUUAAUUCGACGCAACGCGAAGAACCUUACCAAGUCUUGACAUCCUGCGACGAUGCUGGAAACAGUAUUUUCCUUCGGGACGCAGAGACAGGUGGUGCAUGGUUGUCGUCAGCUCGUGUCGUGAGAUGUUGGGUUAAGUCCCGCAACGAGCGCAACCCUUACUGUCAGUUACUACGCAAGAGGACUCUGGCAGGACUGCCGUUGACAAAACGGAGGAAGGUGGGGAUGACGUCAAAUCAUCAUGCCCCUUAUGAUUUGGGCUACACACGUGCUACAAUGGCGUAAACAAAGGGAAGCGAGCCUGCGAGGGUAAGCAAAUCCCAAAAAUAACGUCCCAGUUCGGACUGCAGUCUGCAACUCGACUGCACGAAGCUGGAAUCGCUAGUAAUCGCGGAUCAGAAUGCCGCGGUGGAUACGUUCCCGGGUCUUGUACACACCGCCCGUCA